CUAAGAAUAUUCCGCAAUGGACGGAAGUCUGACGGAGCGACGCCGCGUGGAUGACGAAGGCCGAAAGGUUGUAAAGCUCUUUUGCUGGGGAAGAAUAACCGCAGGAGGGAAUGCCUGUGGGAUGACAAGAACCGGCGAAUAAGCCCCGGCCAACUACGUGCCAGCAGCCGCGGUAACACGUAGGGGGCGAGCGUUGUUCGGAAUUACUGGGCGUAAAGGGCAUGUAGGCGGCUUGGAAAGUCUGGCGUGAAAGUCUGCAGCUUAACUGCAGGGGUGCGCUGGGAACUGCUGAGCUUGAGUGACGGAGAGGGAGCUGGAAUUCCUGGUGUAGGGGUGAAAUCUGUAGAUAUCAGGAAGAACACCGAUGGCGAAGGCAAGCUCCUGGCCGAUGACUGACGCUGAGGUGCGAAAGUGUGGGGAUCAAACAGGAUUAGAUACCCUGGUAGUCCACACAGUCAACGAUGUGCACUAGGUGCUGGGGCGGUAGCUUCGGUGCCGGAGCGAACGUGGUGAAGUGCACCGCCUGGGGAGUAUGCUCGCAAGGGUGAAACUC
rnacentral:rRNA from 1 species